CCAGGACCCCGAGACACCCGAGCGCGAGCGGCGGCUGCUGCUUGCUUGCUCCCGUCUCCCCGCGGCCCCUCCCUUCGGCGACCUACCCGCUCGUUGCAGCCCUCGCCCGCACCUUCUCCGACACCCCGGCGUCCCUGCGCCGCCUGCUCGGGCAGCCCCGGCGGCUCCGAGACUUGCUGUGCGCGCCGAGGAAGGCAAGCUCCGAACCUGUGCCUGGCAGACGGACUGUCGCGGCUGCACCGCCAGCAGGAGGAGGAGGAGAAGAAACUAUUUCGCCCGCCGAAACCCCAUUCUGCGGGUGCUUCGCCGCUGCCGCUUCUGCUGCCGCCGAUCCGCGUCCGCGGGUUCAAACACCGCAGCGGCGGGGGCCGUGGGUCCGGCGGGCGCCGCGAGGAGCACGCCGGCGGAGUCCUGCACUCCGGUGCCCCGCUCACCAGCACCUCCUUGCCCCCUCGUUCCUUCCCCAGCCCUUUAGAGAGGGACCAUGAUUUGGAAACGCAGCGCCGUUCUCCGCUUCUACAGUGUCUGCGGGCUCCUGCUACAAGUGUGUGAGAGCCUGGGAGCGAGCUACCGAGACGGCGAGAGCAGCAGCAGCGGCGGCACCGUGUGCAUUGCAAUAACAUCCCCGGGGGGGAAUGUGUUGUGAGACGUGUCAUUCACCUAGGAAGAGAGGGGACUGUCUCUGGGAUUUAAAAAAAGAAAGAAAGAGAAAAGAAA